rnacentral:rRNA from 1 species
CACGUAGGCGGAUUGUUAAGUUAGGGGUGAAAUCCCAGGGCUCAACCCUGGAACUGCCUCUAAUACUGGCAAUCUCGAGUUAGAGAGAGGUGAGUGGAAUUCCGAGUGUAGAGGUGAAAUUCGUAGAUAUUCGGAGGAACACCAGUGGCGAAGGCGGCUCACUGGGCCAUUACUGACGCUGAGGCACGAAAGCGUGGGGAGCAAACA